AUAUUUUAAUUUAUUAAGUAUUUUUAUAAAUAAAAUAAUUUUUAGUUUUAUUAUAGUCUUAGAAAAAAUUUUUAAAAUUAUAGUUAAUUAGUAUAGUGAUAGAAAAUUUAAAAAGAUGAAAAUUUAUAUGUUUAAAAGAAAAAUUGAUUUUUUGUACCUUGUGUAUCAGGGUCUAUUAAAUAAUAGUUAUUUAUUUUAAUAUUCUCGAUUUUAAAAGAGCUAAGAAAUUAUAAAUUUUAUUGUAAAAUAAAUAUUUAAAAUAAUUUUUUUGUAAUGAAACGUUAUUCGUUUUUAAAUAUAUCUAGUUUCUUAAGAAAUAAAUUUAAUUUAGUUAUUAUUAAUUAAAAUUUUUAUUUAUUAAUGUUUUAAUAUAUAAUAGUUAAUAUUUUAAGGGAUAAGCUUUAAAAUAGAUUAUUAAAAGUAAUUGUUUAUAUAAAAAUUUGUAGGAUUAGAAAUUUUCAUCAUUAAUAGUUUGUUAUAAUUAAUUUUUUAUAAAAUAAUAUUUAUAUUUAUUUUAAUUUUUUUAUUAAGAUUAUUAAUUUAAUUUUAGAUUUAAUGUAAUAAUGAUAGAAUUAGUAUAAUUUAUUGUAAAAUUAAUUUAAUUAAUAAAGGUUAAGUUAAGGAAUUCGGCAAAUAUUUUUCUCGCCUGUUUAUUAAAAACAUGUCUUUUUGAUUAUAAUUUAAAGUCUAACCUGCCCAAUGAAUUAUUUGAAUGGCCGCGGUAUUUUGACCGUGCUAAGGUAGCAUAAUAAUUAGUUUUUUAAUUGAAAACUGGUAUGAAUGGUUGAACGAGGAAUAAGCUGUCUCAAUUUAAUUUAAUUAGAAUUUUAUUUUUAAGUAAAAAAGCUUAAAUAAUUUUAAAAGACGAGAAGACCCUAUAGAGUUUUAUAUUUAAUUAUAAAUUAAAUUAUUAGAAUUAUCAUUUUAAUUUUUAAUUAAGUAUUUUGUUGGGGUGACAAAAAAAUUGAAUAAACUUUUUUUAUAUUAAACCAUUGAUGUAUGAAUAAGUGAUCCAUUAUUUAUGAUUAAAAGAUUAAAUUACCUUAGGGAUAACAGCGUAAUUUUUUUUAAGAGUUCUUAUCGAAAAAAGAGAUUGCGACCUCGAUGUUGGAUUAAAAUUAACUUUUGGUGUAGAAGCUAAAACGUUUGGUCUGUUCGACCAUUAAAAUUUUACAUGAUCUGAGUUUAAACCGGUGUGAGCCAGGUUGGUUUCUAUCUUUAAAAAAUUAUAGUAUUUUAGUACGAAAGGACCAAAUAUUAUUAAAAUUUAAUUAAUUAAUUGAAUAGUAUUAAAUUAAAAAU
rnacentral:rRNA from 2 species